GCUUCGUGGUCGAGUGGUAAGAAUAUUAGCCUCUCACCCAGGAUUCCCAGGAGUCCCGGGUUCGAUCCCCGGUCGAGGAGCU